rnacentral:piRNA from 1 species
UCCUUUUGGAGAAAUUCAGAGUUCAUGGUC